CAAUGAGCGCGGGGCUGCUCCGGAGGCAGUGCUCCGAACGCGACCUGGAGGGCUACGCGGCGGCUGCAGUUAUGGGCGCUGCGCCUUCGCGGGUGCCGGGCGGGAUCAAGGAACGGCCGGGAGCGGCUGAGGAGACCGUCGCCGGGACUGGCCCUUGACGCUGAGUCGCGGUGGGGAGAGUCCCCGCAGGCGCCUCGAGGGCCAGUGAGCGGAAGCCGGGAGCAUCAGAGGAGCCCGGGGCAGCCGCCGGCCACUUCGGGGAGGGGGUGGGGGGGCCCAGCCUGACCGCUGGAAGGGUCGACAGUGCGGUGUGGCCUCCUCUGCGGGUGGGGUGACCCGCCUGGCACCUCUCAGGGGCCGGGGCGCGUCCGCAGGGACCGACGCACAUCUCUUGAGGGCACGCCGCCGGGGCCCAGGGCCGCCUGGGCCAGCCCCGGGGAGCCCCUGGAUGGCUGAGCUGCCCCCGCGCCGGCCGCCCGGGCGCCGCAGCGGCUGAGCUCGCCGGGAUCGCCGGGCCGCCGCCCGCCGCCCUCGCCACCCGCUGCAUGCCCGGCGCCCGGGUAGCGGCCCACCUGGACGCUCUGGGCCCCCUGGUCCCCUCCGUGCCGCCGCCGCUCCUGCCCUCUAUGUUCUACGUGGGCCUGUUCUUCGUCAACGUGCUGAUCCUGUACUACGCCUUCCUCAUGGAGUACAUCGUCCUCAACGUGGGCCUCGUCUUCCUGCCCGAGGACAUGGACCAGGCGCUCGUGGACCUCGGCGUGCUCUCCGACCCCGGCUCAGGCCUCUACGACGCGGACUCGGAGCUCGACGUCUUCGAUGGUUACUUGGAGUAGGCUCGGCUGCCUUCCCCCGCCGCUCUCCCCACGACCCGCAACCGUCGGCCCGGACCGGGGCCCAGGUCAUGCAGCUGCUGUUGAUUGAGGGCACCGCCUGGCCAGGGAUGGGACCCCCAGGACGAGGCCCGCUCCGGCCUCCGAGGCCUGCCUGCUCCCCUCAAAAGCUCCGUGCCAACAGAGAGGUUCCAGUCCGGGCCCAGGACGGUGGGACAGAGAGAUUGAGAAUGGACGCCAAGGUCCGGGAGGCACGUGCCCCCGCCCAGAGGGUGAGGCAGGGGUGCCCGGAGACCUCGCCUGCCUGCGGCGUCGUGCACACAGCUUCGCCCUGGCUCCUGACCUUCCGCCAUCUCAGUGGAUGUUUACAUGAACCCAGCCAGAGUCAGCCUCCCUGCUUUCCACCCCCGGCUGCAUCUGCUUACCCCACUUAACCUUCGGAGAGAGAGGACACGUCGUAGACGAAAGCGACUCCCAGCUCUGUUUUAUGCCAGUGGAGCUCUAAGCCCGAUGGGAUCUGUCCCGAGUCCAGGCUUAGAUGCAGCGACUUGCUUCCGAGAGAAACUCAGAAGGAAAAGAACACCUGGGGGGCUGAGGGUGGGGUUUGGACUCAUUCAUUUCAAGUUGUUUGCUUGCCAUCAAGUUGCCAGAACUGAUACAUUGUGCCAGGGGUGGGGACAGCCACUCCUCCAGCCAGAAAUAUUUUUUGAAAAUGUGAGUGGUAUGAAUACUUGACUUCGAUAAACCUGUAAAAGCAAUACUUAGGAGGCUAACUUCUUUCAAUUAAAAAAUGUAUGCAACUCCAA